AGUGAACGCUGGCGGUAGGCCUAACACAUGCAAGUCGAACGGCAGCACAGUAAGAGCUUGCUCUUACGGGUGGCGAGUGGCGGACGGGUGAGGAAUACAUCGGAAUCUACUUUUUCGUGGGGGAUAACGUAGGGAAACUUACGCUAAUACCGCAUACGACCUACGGGUGAAAGUAGGGGAUCUUCGGACCUUGCGCGAUUGAAUGAGCCGAUGUCGGAUUAGCUAGUUGGCGGGGUAAAGGCCCACCAAGGCGACGAUCCGUAGCUGGUCUGAGAGGAUGAUCAGCCACACUGGAACUGAGACACGGCCCAGACUCCUACGGGAGGCAGCAGUGGGGAAUAUUGGACAAUGGGCGCAAGCCUGAUCCAGCCAUACCGCGUGGGUGAAGAAGGCCUUCGGGUUGUAAAGCCCUUUUGUUGGGAAAGAAAAGCAGCAGGUUAAUACCCCGCUGUUCUGACGGUACCCAAAGAAUAAGCACCGGCUAACUUCGUG
rnacentral:rRNA from 1 species